CAGCACGCUCUGCCGACAGCCCCGGCUGGCCCCCCGGGGCCUGGGUCGUGACCGAGGAAGCAGACGGCAGCCGCGGCCACCAGGCCAGGCCCGGCACCGAAGUCUGGGAACAGCCUGCCUUCUCGGAGCACCUGUUCAGUUCUCCCCCAGACUCCUGGCCGCAAAUCCCUCAGACGCAGGCAGAUGAACGUGUUUAUUCCCCGGGAGCCGAGGGGCAGGCGGGAGACAAAUGGAGAAGCAAGUGGCCGGUCGGACAGGUCCAGCCCCGCCCAGCCCUCAGGGCCAAGCUGAGGACACAGCCCCGCACCAGGCUGGUCCCCAGGCAGUGGACCUACAGGAUCAACUGAGGGGAGCUUGGGGGUGUUGACCCUGCGGGGACCAGUCUCCAGGGCAGGCGCUCCUAAGACACUUCCCGCCUCGGGGAGCUGGCCGCCCUCUCCAGGCCGCUCCAGCCCACAGGCCAUUCCUUCCCAGGCAUCUCAGGGACAUCAGAGCAGCUGUCACCCCAGGCCCACUCUGUGUCCUGGACGGGAAGGCGGGACGUUGUCUGCCAGUGACCUGGAGGCCUGGCACCCAGCCUGACCUCCCGUCCAGGCCGUCACCGCACG